rnacentral:rRNA from 1 species
UGGACUGGUAAUGGGUAAAAGUCGUAACAAGGUCUCCGUUGGUGAACCAGCGGAGGGAUCAUUACAGAGUUGCAAAACUCCCUAAACCAUUGUGAACGUUACCUAAACCGUUGCUUCGGCGGGCGGCCCCGGGGUUUACCCCCCGGGCGCCCCUGGGCCCCACCGCGGGCGCCCGCCGGAGGUCACCAAACUCUUGAUAAUUUAUGGCCUCUCUGAGUCUUCUGUACUGAAUAAGUCAAAACUUUCAACAACGGAUCUCUUGGUUCUGGCAUCGAUGAAGAACGCAGCGAAAUGCGAUAAGUAAUGUGAAUUGCAGAAUUCAGUGAAUCAUCGAAUCUUUGAACGCACAUUGCGCCCGCCAGUAUUCUGGCGGGCAUGCCUGUUCGAGCGUCAUUUCAACCAUCAAGCCCCGGGCUUGUGUUGGGGACCUGCGGCUGCCGCAGGCCCUGAAAAGCAGUGGCGGGCUCGCUGUCACACCGAGCGUAGUAGCAUACAUCUCGCUCUGGGCGUGCUGCGGGUUCCGGCCGUUAAACCACCUUUUAACCCAAGGUUGACCUCGGAUCAGGUAGGAAGACCCGCUGAACUUAAGCA